UACAGAGGUCUCAAGCGUUGUUCGGAAUCACUGGGCGUAAAGGGUGCGUAGGUGGCGUGGAAAGUCAGAUGUGAAAUCCGGGGGCUCAACCCCCGAAUUGCAUCCGAUACUACCGCGCUAGAGAACUGAAGGGGGAUCUGGAAUUCUCGGUGUAGCAGUGAAAUGCGUAGAUAUCGAGAGGAACACUAGUGGCGAAGGCGAGAUCCUGGGCAGUAUCUGACACUGAGGCACGAAGGCCAGGGGAGCGAACGGG
rnacentral:rRNA from 1 species